GACAGAGGGUGCAAACGUUGUUCGGAAUUACUGGGCGUAAAGCGCGUGUAGGCGGCUAAGUAAGUCGGGCGUGAAAUCCCACGGCUCAACCGUGGAAGUGCACUCGAAACUGCAUAGCUAGAGUCCUGGAGAGGAAGGUGGAAUGCUUGGUGUAGAGGUGAAAUUCGUAGAUAUCAAGCGGAACACCGGUGGCGAAGGCGACACACUGGGCCAUUACUGACGCUGAGGCGCGAAAGCGUGGGGAGCAAACAGG
rnacentral:rRNA from 1 species